GAUGAAGAACGUAGCGAAAUGCGAUACUUGGUGUGAAUUGCAGAAUCCCGUGAACCAUCGAGUCUUUGAACGCAAGUUGCGCCCGAAGCCAUUAGGCCGAGGGCACGCCUGCCUGGGUGUCACACGUCGUUGCCCCCCCAUCUACUCCUUCGGGAUUGCGGGGGGCGGAUGAUGGCCUCCUGUGCGCCUCGUCGCGCGGUUGGCAUAAAUGCCAAGUCCUCGGCGACGCACGCCACGACAAUCGGUGGUUGCGAAACCUCGGUUGCCCGUCGUGUGCGGUCGUCGCGCAUCGAGGGCUCGAAAAAAUUGCCGGGCUCCGGCUCGGCUUUCAACGCGACACCAGGUCAGGCGGGGUUACCCGCUGAAUUUAAGCAUAUCAAUAAGCGGAGGA
rnacentral:misc_RNA from 1 species